GGCGGCGUGCUUAACACAUGCAAGUCGAACGAUGAACCGGUUUCGGCCGGGGAUUAGUGGCGAACGGGUGAGUAACACGUGGGCAAUCUGCCCUGCACUCUGGGACAAGCCCUGGAAACGGGGUCUAAUACCGGAUAUGACCACCGGCCGCAUGGUCUGGUGGUGGAAAGCUCCGGCGGUGCAGGAUGAGCCCGCGGCCUAUCAGCUUGUUGGUGGGGUGAUGGCCUACCAAGGCGACGACGGGUAUCCGGCCUGAGAGGGCGACCGGCCACACUGGGACUGANACACGGCCCANACUCCUAC
rnacentral:rRNA from 1 species